UACGUAGGUGGCAAGCGUUAUCCGGAAUUAUUGGGCGUAAAGAGCGCGCAGGUGGUUGAUUAAGUCUGAUGUGAAAGCCCACGGCUUAACCGUGGAGGGUCAUUGGAAACUGGUCAACUUGAGUGCAGAAGAGGGAAGUGGAAUUCCAUGUGUAGCGGUGAAAUGCGUAGAGAUAUGGAGGAACACCAGUGGCGAAGGCGGCUUGCUGGGCUCUAACUGACGCUGAGGCCCGAAAGCGUGGGGAGCAAACAGGAUUAGAUA
rnacentral:rRNA from 1 species